GGGCUCCUUUAUCCCGUAGGCCAGCGGAUCCGCGCACGCGCGCCACCACCCUGCCUGCGGGUGGGGGCGGGGCCACAUUGCGUCAUCGGGGAGCGCUGCAGACAACGCGAGUUUGCCGGAAGUUGGGCGGUGUUCUCUAGGGUCACAUGGGAUGGCGGCAACAUCUGAGACUGUGACUGUGGUGGAGGACUUGCACUAGUGUGCCCGUCAGACUGACUUGUACAAGAAAGGAAGAGACGUGGAGGCGAAGGCCAGGAAGCAGGCAAGAAAUAAUGGCAGCAGCUAUGGGGGAUCCUGGACUCUGCAAGUUGCAGUUUGCCCCCUUCAGCAGCGCCUUGGAUGUGGGAUUCUGGCAUGAGUUGACCCAGAAGAAGCUGAAUGAGUAUCGGCUGGAUGAAGCUCCCAAGAACAUUAAGGGUUAUUAUUACAAUGGUGAUUCCGCUGGGCUGCCAGCUCGUUUAACCUUGGAGUUCAGUGCUUUUGACAUGAGUGCCCCAACCCCGGCCCGCUGCUGCCCAGCUACGGGAACACUGUAUAACACCAACACACUCGAGGCCUUCAAGGCUGCAGAUAAGAAGCUACUUUUGGAACAAGCAGCAAACGAGAUAUGGGAGUCCAUCAAGUCAGGGGCCGCUCUUGACAACCCUGUCCUCCUCAACAAAUUCCUCCUCUUGACGUUUGCAGAUCUAAAGAAGUAUCAUUUCUACUAUUGGUUUUGCUCCCCUGCUCUCUGCCUUCCAGAGAGUAUUCCCCUCGUUCAGGGGCCAGUGGGCUUGGAUCAAAGAUUUUCACCAAAACAGAUUCAAGCCCUUGAGCGUGCGUAUGAUAAUCUUUGUCAAACAGAAGGAGUCCCGGCACUUCCUUACUUCCUAAUCAAGUAUGAUGAGAACACGGUGCUGGUUUCCUUGCUUAAACACUACAGUGAUUUCUUCCAAAGUCAAAGGACAAAGGUAACUAUUGGUGUCUAUGAUCCCUGUAACUUAGCCCAGUACCCUGGAUGGCCUUUGAGGAAUUUUUUGGUCCUAGCAGCCCACAGAUGGCCUGACAUCAGGAGUAGCAGUUUCCAGUCUGUUGAAGUCCUGUGCUUCCGGGAUCGAACGCUGCAGGGGGUGAGAGACAUCGCCCACAGCAUCAUCUUCGAAGUGAAACUCCCAGAAGUGGCAUUUAGCCCAGAUUGUCCCAAAGCAGUUGGAUGGGAAAAGAACCAGAAAGGCGGCAUGGGGCCCCGGAUGGUGAACCUCAGCGAAUGUAUGGAUCCUAAGAGGUUAGCUGAGUCAUCCGUGGACCUCAAUCUCAAGUUGAUGUGUUGGAGAUUGGUCCCUACUUUGGACUUAGACAAGGUUGUGUCUGUCAAGUGUCUGCUGCUUGGAGCCGGCACCUUGGGUUGUAACGUAGCUAGGACGUUGAUGGGUUGGGGCGUCAGACACAUCACAUUUGUGGACAAUGCCAAGAUCUCCUAUUCCAACCCCGUGAGGCAGCCGCUCUAUGAAUUUGAAGAUUGCCUGGUGGGUGGUAAGCCCAAGGCCCUGGCAGCAGCAGACCGCCUCCAGAAAAUAUUCCCCGGAGUGAAUGCCAGAGGGUUCAACAUGAGCAUCCCCAUGCCGGGACACCCUGUCAACUCCUCCAGCAUCACCCUGGAGCAGGCCCGCAGGGAUGUGGAGCAGCUGGAGCAGCUCAUCGAAAGCCAUGACGUCGUGUUCCUGUUGAUGGACACCAGGGAGAGUCGGUGGCUGCCUGCUGUCAUCGCUGCCAGCAAGAGAAAGCUGGUCAUCAAUGCUGCGUUGGGAUUUGACACGUUUGUUGUCAUGAGACAUGGCCUGAAGAAACCUAAGCAGCAGGGAGCUGGGGACCUGUGUCCCAGCAACCCUGUGACAUCUACCGACCUCCUGGGCUCAUCACUUUUUGCCAACAUCCCUGGCUACAAACUUGGCUGCUAUUUCUGCAAUGAUGUCGUGGCCCCAGGAGAUUCCACCAGAGACCGGACCUUGGACCAGCAGUGCACUGUGAGUCGUCCAGGACUGGCCAUGAUUGCAGGAGCUCUGGCAGUGGAAUUGAUGGUUUCUGUUUUGCAGCAUCCGGAAGGGGGCUACGCCAUUGCCAGCAGCAGCGACGACCGCAUGAAUGAGCCUCCGACCUCCCUCGGGCUCGUGCCUCACCAGAUCCGAGGAUUUCUGUCACGAUUUGAUAAUGUCCUUCCUGUCAGCCUGGCAUUUGACAAAUGUACAGCUUGUUCUUCCAAAGUUCUUGAUCAAUAUGAACGGGAAGGAUUUAAUUUCCUAGCAAAGGUGUUUAAUUCUUCACAUUCCUUCUUGGAGGACUUGACCGGUCUUACCUUACUACAUCAAGAGACCCAGGCUGCUGAGCACCCGAGGAGCUGUGCAGACCCAGAGGGAGCUCCCAGGGGCCAGUGAUAGCUGCAAACAGCAGAUCCUUCUCUCUGGUGGGCCUCUAGAGCUGCAGUGACCCUGGAAACAGGCCCGUGUCCCUCCUUGGGAUCCCAGCCCAGCGUCUCCACCCAGAUCUGGGACAUGAGCGACGAUGAGACCGUCUGACAACACCCCCCCGAGAGGCUGACCCCUCCCUGGCUGCCCCACAGGGGUCUCAGUGGCUGGAGCAGGACGGCCGCCCCCAGGACUGGUGAUUCUGGGCCCCAAACCCCUCCAACCUUUCUGGUCCCCUCGUCCCUAUACCUUGAGGACUGGGGUCCUUCUUCCGCUGCCCAGGAGCUUCUGGUGUUCUCCAUUUCUUAUGAUUCACAAUCCCACCAAUUCUGAGCUAAAUAAUAACCUUGGCUUUGGCAUUGCCAUUGAUCUGGGACUCAGUUCCCUUCA